GCCUGGGUGGCUCAGUCGGUUGGGCAUCUGACUUCGGCUCAGGUCAUGAUCUCACGGCCCGUGAGUUCAAGCCCCACGUCGGGCU
rnacentral:tRNA from 1 species